AUUGAACGCUGGCGGCGUGCCUAACACAUGCAAGUCGUACGUGAAAGUCCUUCGGGAUGAGUAAAGUAGGCGCACGGGUGAGUAACACGUGGGUAAUCUACCGGGAAGUGAGGAAUAACGACUGGAAACGGUCGCUAAUACCGCAUGAGCCCCGCAAGGGGAAAGGAGGCCUCUGCAUAUGCUUCCGCUUUUCGAUGAGCCGCGUCCCAUUAGCUAGUUGGCGGGGUAACGGCCCACCAAGGCGACGAUGGGUAGCUGGUCUAAGAGGAUGAUCAGCCACAUUGGAACUGGAACACGGUCCAAACUCCUACGGGAGGCAGCAGUGGGGAAUAUUGCGCAAUGGGCGAAAGCCUGACGCAGCGACGCCGCGUGAGGGAUGAAGGUCUUCGGAUCGUAAACCUCUGUCAAGAGGGAAGAACAAGCAACGUGCUAAUCAGCGUUGCCCUGACGGU
rnacentral:rRNA from 1 species